UACAGCCACAUCAUGUUGAAACAACAAUUCCCAUAUGAUCACUGAAGUUAAGCAAUGUUGAGCCUGGUCAGUACCUGGAUGGGUGACCACUUGAAAAUACCAGGUGCUGUAUG